CACGUAGGGCGCGAGCGUUGUCCGGAAUUAUUGGGCGUAAAGAGCUCGUAGGCGGCCUGUUGCGUCCGCUGUGAAAGCCCGGGGCUUAACCCCGGGUCUGCAGUGGAUACGGGCAGGCUAGAGGUAGGUAGGGGAGAAUGGAAUUCCCGGUGUAGCGGUGAAAUGCGCAGAUAUCGGGAGGAACACCGGUGGCGAAGGCGGUUCUCUGGGCCGAUAUUGACGCUGAGGAGCGAAAGCGUGGGGAGCGAACAGG
rnacentral:rRNA from 1 species